CCUACGGGAGGCAGCAGUGAGGAAUAUUGGUCAAUGGGCGCGAGCCUGAACCAGCCAAGUCGCGUGAGGGAAGACGGUCCUAUGGAUUGUAAACCUCUUUUGUCGGGGAGCAAAAGACGCCACGCGUGGCGUUCCGAGAGUACCCGAAGAAAAAGCAUCGGCUAACUCCGUGCCAGCAGCCGCGGUAAGACGGAGGAUGCGAGCGUUAGCCGGUUUUAUUGGGUUAAAGGGGUGCGCAGGCGGAAGAUCAAGUCAGCGGUAAAAUUGAGAGGCUCAACCUCUUCGAGCCGUUGAAACUGGUCUUCUUGAGUGAGCGAGAAGUAUGCGGAAUGCGUGGUGUAGCGGUGAAAUGCAUAGAUAUCACGCAGAACUCCGAUUGCGAAGGCAGCAUACCGGCGCUCAACUGACGCUCAUGCACGAAAGUGUGGGUAUCGAACAGGAUUAGAUACCCCAGUAGUC
rnacentral:rRNA from 1 species